rnacentral:snRNA from 1 species
GUGCUCGCUUCAGCAGCACAUAUACUAAAAUUGGAACGAUACAGAGAAGAUUAGCAUGGCCCCUGCACAAGCAUG